rnacentral:snoRNA from 1 species
AGCACAGCUAAAAUUGAGACACAGGUGAUCCUUCCAUCACAGUAAAUAUUUACAGUGGUGACAAUCAGGCCUGUAACAUUU